CCUGGGUGCCCAGGCGGGUGCGGAGCCGGCUGCGGGCCUCAGGCGAUGGGGCGAGGAAGCGAUCGGUGGGCCCUGCACCCCCGCGGGCCGCGCUGGGCUCGGAAGGGGAAUCAAUCACACGACUGCCGAGGUGUGACCAGAUGUGCCCUCGACUAUCCGCUCUGCAGGCCUCGCCUCCCGGCUCUGACGAUGUCCUCAAACCUUCUGGAAAGAGGGGACAGGCUCCCUGCCUCUCCUUUCUCCAGCCCUGGAGACAGAGCCCCUUGUAGGAUCCCAGACCCCCACUGGCUCAAGAGAGGCACACAGCAGAAGGGCCACUGUGGAAUGAACCACCCUCACCAACUCCAACUUGGAAGCAGAAACCUUCCCUUCCUGUCAUCGCCAGCAGGCAGCACCUGAGGCCACCCAGCCAGCACUCAGCUCCUGGAUCAGGCAUUCCACCUUCAGUUCUUACAGUCAGUGGAUGGAUGGAUGGAUGGAUGGAUUUACGGAUUCCUACCAAAACCCUAAGAGAUAGCACAAAACUGGAACUGAUCACAGCCCACUUGAACAGGAAGAUGAAGAGAAGGCUGCUGACGGCUUCUAGGUGUCUCUCUUGGGAUAGAAGCCGAUCAGAGCAGUUUAAUGGACGGCCAGACGUGGGUUAGAGGGAGGCCAGGGUGGCUUGUAGCCUCCCAGUGGCAAAAAGGGAGCCAGGCCCCAAAGGAGGCCAGAAACCAAAAACCCAGGGCUUUCUGAACUGUUUCAGAAAGUGGGAAGAAUAAUGGGAUAAGUGUGUUCAAAGUGAGUAUUUUGAGGACGGAGAAGGCAAUGUCUUUUACUAUAAUAAUUUUUUCCUCAUUUAAACUUUCACUGUAUUUUUUGAUCACCCCUUGUAUGUGUCUGGCCCUGGGGCUGCCAGGGGCAAACAGUCACCUCCUCUGGGUCCCCAGGUAAAGAGCCCGAUGGGGUUGCUUAUCUUCAUCCAGCCAGGUGCCCAGGUCUUAGGUUCCCAGCCAGGCUAGAGGACAGGAAGCGCCCAGAUCCUCAGGGAGGAGGUUCUUGGGUAACUAUUAAACAGCAGGAACGAACCCUACACCCUUUGAGGGGCACAAGUCAGAAAUCAAGGUGCCAGCAGGGGUGGCUCAAUUCAGGAAGACCUGGUUCCAGGGCUCUGUUCGCUUAGGCACAGGGAAGACUGGAGUCCAGCAGGUGCCACUUCCCUCUUCCUCCCAAUGCUCCAGUGCCGCUGGGCGACUUAGAGGGGUUAAAUCCGAACAGCUCACAGUGGAGUGCUUAGUUCAUGCAGUGUGGACAACAGAGACCCAUGAACCAGGGCCAACCCCUGUACUCUCUUGGCUGUGUGAUUCCACAACAGCAGGAGCUGGCAGGUGACCCAGUCGUGGGCCAGGGUCACAGGCAAGCAGUUCGUUUCUAUAUGGAUCCAAUUCUCUAUUUUGUUUGGCUAAAAAUAUUUUUUAUUAUUGGUAUAUAUUUGAGAUACAUGAAAUUUGCAUUUAUUUUGGGGAACUGAUGCAUGUAUAUCAUAUCUUGGUCAUUUCCCAUCUAUUUUCCCCCACUUUUCUAUCUCACCCUCCCUCCCUUGGCUAAAAAUUUUACUUGGAGGUUUUCCAGCCAAGUCUACCAUGAGAGCUAUAUGUAUUUCAGAAGCUCCAAGUCUGGAUUAAGGUGGGAAGCUGACCCUCUCCAUUUUAUUGGCUAUGACAGACAUCACCAAUCAAUCACAGACUCAACCCUAAGAUCACAGCCAGAAAGUAGGGCAGAGACAGGAAUCUAGGAUGCAGGAUGGCAUAAUAGAGUUUUGUUUUUAUUUGUUUUUUGGUACUGGGGAUCGAACUCGGGUCCUUGCGCUUGCGCAGCAGGGGGCGAAACCACUGAGCCAAAUCCCCGGCCCAAUAGAGUUAUUUUCUUAAUUUCUUUCUUUCUUUCUUUCUUUUUCUUUUUCUUUCCUUCUUUCUUUUCUUUUUUCAGUACUGGGAAUUGAAUGCAAGGACUUCACAUUUAACUGCAUCUGUAGCUUGUUUAAAAUUUUUUAUUUUUCAUUUCAUUUUUUAAUUUAUUUGGUGUUUCAAGACAAGGUCUCACUCUACAUUUUAGGCUGCUCUUAAACUCACUAUAUAGCCCAGUCUGGCCUCCUACUAGAAAUCCUUCUCCCUCAGCCUCCCGAGGUCUAGGAUUAUCGGCACGUGCCACCACGCCUGGCUUUUAGGCAGCCUUUGUCAAUUCUUAUUCUCUAUUUCUCACCUAAAUCUUUCCGUGCCGCCAUGUUUUGUCACAUGGACAGACACACAUGAGUCCCAGGAGACAGAGUGGCUCUUGUCAUCUAGGUGUGGCCUGCCCCUCCGCCUGGACAUCCUUCCUGCCUGGGCCUGGUCACCACUCCUGUCUUAGGGACACAGCCCAUCUUUCAUAGCACCAUGGGUUCAUCCCCACAAGCUUAGGGCCCGAGAGUCCCCUUCCUGCUCAUUCCUGAUCUACACUGCCUCUUGGGUCAUCGUGUUCGCCGCAGGGGGACCUAUUGCGCCUUGCCUCCCGCCCUGUCCCACAGCCCCUGUCAUGUUGCGUGAGUGUUACUGAAGUAAGUAAUUAGCUCAUUCCUGGGGGUCAUUCUAAACAUUUCAAUACAAGCGGCAAAACAACAACAAAGGUUUUGUUUUUUGUUUUUCCUAUACAAAGCAUCAUUUCCUUAAGAGGAAUUUCUGGAAGUGAGAUAAUUCAUUGCUGGAUUUGGGGCAGGGGGGAAUAAAGAUAAUGGUAGGCUGAGGCAGGAGGACUAUAAGUUCAAGCCCAGCCUGGGCUACUUAGCAAGAACGUGGCUCAAAAUUUAAAAAAAAAAAAAAAAAUUAGAAAGGACGGGGGUGCAGCUCAGUGUGAACCCUCACUACUGAAAACGGCAGACGGGGCACCAUCCGCUGAACAGGCACGCACUGGGUGAGGGAAGCCCUGGCGGCUGGUGCGGACGUUGUGCCCCAGGAUGCGU